rnacentral:rRNA from 1 species
UACGUAGGGUGCGAGCGUUAAUCGGAAUUACUGGGCGUAAAGCGUGCGCAGGCGGUUUUGUAAGCCAGAUGUGAAAGCCCCGGGCUUAACCUGGGAAUGGCAUUUGGGACUGCAAGGCUGGAGUGUGGCAGAGGAGACUGGAAUUCCUGGUGUAGCAGUGAAAUGCGUAGAUAUCAGGAGGAAUACCGACGGCGAAGGCAGGUCUCUGGGCUGACACUGACGCUCAUGCACGAAAGCGUGGGGAGCAAACAGG